UACAGAGGUCUCAAGCGUUGUUCGGAUUCAUUGGGCGUAAAGGGUGUGUAGGUGGCUCCGUAAGUCGGGUGUGAAAUUUCGGAGCUUAACUCCGAAACUGCAUUCGAUACUGCGGUGCUUGAGGACUGGAGAGGAGACUGGAAUUCAUGGUGUAGCAGUGAAAUGCGUAGAGAUCAUGAGGAAGACCAGUGGCGAAGGCGGGUCUCUGGACAGUUCCUGACACUGAGACACGAAGGCGAGGGGAGCAAACGGG
rnacentral:rRNA from 1 species